GUUGAUCCUGGCUUAGAUGAACGCUGGCGGCGUGCUUAACACAUGCAAGUCGCGCGUGAAAGGACUUCGGUCCGAGUAAAGCGGCGCACGGGUGAGUAACGCGUGGAUGAUCUACCCAUGAGUUAGGAAUAACGGCUGGAAACGGUCGCUAAUACCAAAUACGCUCCGAUUUCAACUUCGGGGGGAAAGGUGGCCUCUGCUUGCAAGCUACUGCUCAUGGAUGAGUCCGCGUCCCAUUAGCUAGUUGGUGGGGUAACGGCCCACCAAGGCGACGAUGGGUAGCCGGUCUGAGAGGAUGACCGGCCACACUGGGACUGGAACACGGCCCAGACUCCUACGGGAGGCAGCAGUGGGGAAUAUUGCGCAAUGGGCGAAAGCCUGACGCAGCGACGCCGCGUGAGGGAUGAAGGUCCUCGGAUCGUAAACCUCUGUCAGGAGGGAAGAACCGCCACGGUGCUAAUCAGCCGUGGUCUGACGGUACCUCCAAAGGAAGCACCGGCUAACUCCGUGCCAGCCGCUGC
rnacentral:rRNA from 1 species